CACGGGGGGAGCAAGCGUUGUUCGGAAUCACUGGGCGUAAAGGGCGUGUAGGCGGUCAGGUAAGUGGGAUGUGAAAUGCCCCGGCUCACCCGGGGACCGGCAUCCCAAACUGCUUGGCUUGAGUAUGGGAGAGGAUGAGGGAAUUCCUGGUGUAGCGGUGAAAUGCGUAGAUAUCAGGAGGAACACCGGUGGCGAAGGCAGCCCCCUGGGUCAAAACUGACGCUCAUGCACGAAAGCGUGGGGAGCAAACAGG
rnacentral:rRNA from 1 species